UAUAACUCAUAAACUCAGAUGUCAGAUUUGGAUGAAACCAAUUGCAUUGGAAAGAAGACUCAAAGAUCUUUCUUUUCAUAGGUGGAAGCUCUCCCAGUUCAUUAUAUUAAGGGAGUUAUGAUCGUUCAAAGUUGACCCAAAAAAAUGGCUGACCUCAGUAGUUUGUGUGCAGGAAAUUUUCCUGCACAUCUACUAUUCCC
rnacentral:lncRNA from 1 species